CCUUCUCCUGACGGCAUGGCUGGCUGAUGCCCUCUGGCUGGGUUGGCCUCCAACCCGAGUUCCUCCUGUCGCGACAUCCGCUUCAAGAAAGCCCUCUUCAAGAAGCUUCUCCCAAGAUCAGGUUGGCACAUUGUACAAGGUUUCUGUAGCCAAGCUCAGGGGCAUAGGAAAGGGGGGGGGCGGUCUGCCCCAGGUGCCGUCAUGGGGGGGGGGGGUGUGACAAAUUAUCAAGGAACAAUUACUGCCCUACUAGGGCGGUUCAUAAAAAGCUUUUUCGAAAAUGCCUGCUCCAAAGGUCUUAUCUUACUACACUAGGGAUUAUAUAGCUAUAUAUGAAAUUUCAUGCAUAUCAGUUAAUAUCUUGACCCUCCUCCACGAAAAUAGCUGUUUACUUGGCUGUUUUCCUACGUGGUGAAGGCUGAAAUUUCAAUUCAGUGGAGCAGGGUCAAGAUAUUAACUGGCAUGUUUUUUGUUUUGGUAAACCACUUUGCAGGUUUUUUUUAAAUAAAUAAAUAUAAAUAAAACAACACAAGCCAAAACACAAUCCAUCCUGCAGAUUUAAGUAUCCGUCCACAGUCACCUACUUGUUAUCGGAGGCCCAGAAUCUAUAUUCCUUUGUAAGAAAAUAUGAAAUAAAGUAAAACCAUAUUUACAGGCAAAAAAUAAAAUAAAAAAUCAAUUGGGGGGGGGAGUUGUUGACAAGAAAUUUUCCAUACCAGGUACCACCUGACCUUCCUACGCCUCUGACCAUGCUGUUGUCUCCUGGAAGCUAACAGCCCCACCUGUGUUUAGCAGGACGGGAAGAAAUAGCUUAUGAAGGAAUCGGUUCUAUCACCAUGGAUAAACCUCUCCAAGUAGCUCUCCUGGGUAACAGCUUGUUGAGGAAGGGGAGUUGAGUGAUCUGAAGUGUUUACUUUCCAGAGCAUUAGCGGCAGGCUUGGGAGAGCUGGAUUGUGGGAGAUCAUUGUUCUUUUAUCAUCAAAAUUAAGUGUAGGGGAGAAAUUAAGAACAUAAAAGCCUGCUGCACCAGGUCAAUGGCCCAUCACCUGCUCUCAUAGUGCUUUUUAUAGCAUGCCUGUGCAAGCAGGACCUGAGCACAACAACAACAGCCUCCCUUCCUCCUUUUGAGAGGCAUACUGCUUCCAACAGUGGAAGUGGAACAUAGGCAUUGUGGAUAAUGGCCACCAGUCUUCCAGCAUUCAGUUUCAUUCAGUUCCACCAGCAUAUUCAAACAGUUGAACGAUGCCUCUGUAUUGAAACCUCCACAUCCAACCCCCAUUUAAUAACCUUCAGCAAAGGAGAGUUGAAACGCAGCGAACCCUCCUUGGAGGUCUUCAAGCAGAGGUUGGCUGGUCAUAUGCCAGAGAUUCUUUAGCUAUGAUUCUUGCAUUGUGGGGGGUUGGACCAGAUGAUCCUUAGCAUCCCUUUUCAGUCUAUGUUUGGGGCUAUAUGAAUAUCUGUCACUCAGAGGCAAUGGUGGUAGGGUGGUCACUUUCCUGUCCCCCUUGUGAAUUUCCUGGAAGCGUCUGACUAGGAGAAGCAGAAGGCUGGACAAGAGUUAGACUCUUGGUCUGAUCUAACAUGUUCUCAUGUUUUUGUUUUAAAUCUGAAUGCCAUUUUAUAUUUAUCCUACUUUUCUAUAUAAAAAGGCACCCAACAGUCCAAUAAGGACAUUCAUCCAAGCAUUUAAAACCUCAAUAAGAAAGCAAUGCAAGCAAAUGCUCCUUUAGGAAAGGUGGAACCAUCCCGCUUAGUGGAGAUCCAGCUGGCAGAGAUCAAGACCCCCCCCCAAAAAAGAUCUCUUCCAAGAGCAGCAACAGGGCUGGCUAUAGUGUUUGCCUCUCAUCCCAGCCUAGGGAUUCAAUUUCAGGGCAUGGGCUUUGCAAACCCCCCUGUUAAAUUUUAACUCCUUUCACAUGGGCUGCCGUGAACUUUGCCUGACAUCCAGAGGCAUGCGACCCUGCCGUGUUUCAUCAAGUUGCACUCCUGAUCUCUGCAAACAGAGGAUGGUGCCCAUGGCCUCAGUGCAGUUCUCCUGUGAGUGGCUGGAUAUUGUGGUGUUCCAUGGGUUUCCAUAGUUAAUAUAUGCUUCCUCCUCCGCCACCAAUUUAAGUUGGAAGUAACUGCACAAUUAGAGUAACAGAAUUGUAGAGUUGAAAGGGACCCCAAGGGUCAUGUAGCGCAAUACCUUGCAAUGCAGGAAUCUCAGCUAAAGAAUUCCUGAUAGAUGGCCAUCCAACCUCUGCUAAAAAACCUCCAUGGAAGGACAGUCCACUACAAGGAUGUCCAUUCACUGUUGAACAGCUCUUAUCCUCAGAAAGUAGUUCCUAACAUUGAGUUGGAUAUUUGAAGAUGGCUGCCAUAAUAUCUUCUUUUCCAACAUACCCAGUUCCCUCCACUGUUCCUCAUAAUGCUUGGUUUUCUGAUUCUUGGUCAUCUUGGUCAUCCUCCUCUGCCCAUGUUCCAGCUUGUCAAUAAUCCUUCUUAACUGUGGUGCCCAGAAUUGGACCAGGACUCCAGGUGUGGUCUGACCAAGGCAGAAUAGAACUGUACUUUGACUUCCCUUUAUCUGGACACUAUACUUCUGUUGAUGCACCCUAGAAUGGCAUAAGCUUUUUUUGAUGCUACAUGACACAGCAAUUAGGACAGAAAGGUUUGUGCUCCUAGGAUAGCUCAGUCAGUAGAGCAGAAGACUCUUAAUCUUAGGGUUGUGAGUUUGAGCCCCACAUUGAGCAAAAAGAUUCCUGCAUUGCAAGGGGUUGGACUAGAUGACCCUCGUGGUUACUUCCAACUCUACAAUUCUAUGAAGAGUGGAAAGAGCAAGAAGUAACCACCCUCAGAAAGGGAUAACUCUGCACAAUGUGCCUCUGUAUGAGUCAGUGUUCAGGGCAUGCCUCCUGAGAUGCUACAUGACACAGCAAUUAGAACCUCCUCUGAGGUAAAGGAAUUCUGUAAAAUCCCUUAAUCAGGGUGAUCUGAGUGGUGCCAUCAAUGGGGUGGAGAUGUAUGGCAAAAUCCCACCCCCACGCAGGUCUUGACUGGCAGGGAGGCCUGGGCAGCAACUAAUGCAGAGAAACCACAUGCAACCACCUUCAAUGGCAAGGAAUUCUCUUGUCCCCUGCACAGCAUUCAAGUGGAACAGAAUUACCCAGCUGAAACUGUUUGGAUUAAGGCAAGCCCAGAGCAUAGGCAGCUUCCCUAUACCAAAUCAGAGCCUUGGUCAGUCUAGUGUGGGAUUACCUACACUGACUGGCAGCAGCUCUCCAGUGCUUCAUACAGGGAAUCUUUACUAGCUCUACCUGGAGAUGCCAUUGAGGGUGGAACUUAGGAGUUUCUGAGCUGCAGACCUUCCCCAUGCAGCUAAAACGGUUCCCUGUAAAGCCAAGUAUGAUCAGUUUCAGAGAUCAAUUGAUUCCUCCCCUCAACCCCCCCCCCCCAGGUGUAAAGAAAAUAUAUCUUUUCCUGGUCAAUUUCUAUUUAAGGGUAAGAAUAAGUUUUUAAGGGCCCCUCAUCCCUUCCCCACUCAAAAACCUCGUUGUCUUAAACCUUUUCUUUUUAUUAAAAAAAUAAGUGUUAAUGACAUAAAUUGGAAAUAAAUUGUUUUGUUCAGAAUUCUGAAAACCACAGACCUAAUUAAGGCAUUCUGAAUAACAUCUUCAUAUCUGAAGAAGUGUGCAUACACAUGAAAGAUUAUACCCAGAACAAACUUGGUUGGUCUGUAAGGUGCUACUGGACAAUUUAUUUAUUUAUUUCGACUGCAUUCAGACCAACACGGCUACCUAUCUGAAUCUUGAAUAGCAUUUGUGAGCCUUUAGUGCAUUCAUCCUGUCAGAUAGUACUUAACAUACUGUGCACUCCAUGAUAAUCAUUCAAAGUAAUUAUCCUUUGGGCUUGCAAAAGCAAUUUUUUGCCAACCCAGAACUGUAUGAUUGAAAAGGACACUAUGAGGCAUAGUCCUAUGAGAAGCUCAUUGUGGACAUGAUGGAAUUGUUAGAAAGGCAUUGCCAUCCCACCUCAGAGGUUGUGAAUGGGGGACAGUAUGUGUGGGGGGGUCUUCUUGUUGUCUUGGCCCAAGAUGUGGUAUAGUUGUUGAGUGUCAGGCUAAGACCUGGGACACCAUGGUUCAAUUCCCCCAGUCAGCCAUGAAGCUUUCACUGGGUGACCUUAGGCCAGUUGCUAUUUCCCUUGGCCUAACCUACUGUUGUGUGGAAAGCCAUGGAUAGCUUUGUUGUUGUUGUUUAGUCGUUUAGUUGUGUCCGACUCUUCGUGACCCCCUGGACCAGAGCACGCCAGGCACUCCUGUCUUCCACUGCCUCCCGCAGUUUGGUCAAACUCAUGCUGGUAGCUUCGAGAACACUAUCCAACCAUCUCGUCCCCUGUCGUCCCCUUCUCCUUGUGCCCUCCAUCUUUCCCAACAUCAGGGUCUUUUCCAGGGAGUCUUCUCUUCUCAUGGAUAGCUUUACUCUCCUCCAAUCCUCUUUUCAAGACAUCAAUGGGCUUAUCCACUCUUAUCUUUUGCCCAGCUCUUUCCAGGAGCUGGUCGAUGCCGUAAAGCUCUAUGUCUGAGUGCUGCUUUUGUUUUUGCUCCUUUGCCUGCUUUCCCUGCGAAAACUUGCUCUUUAAAGCUGAAGCACAACAAAUGGCAAUUCAGGUUUUGUGUGGAUUGCCCUUUGCUCCAAUACAGCAUUAAAGAGCAGGUUUUUGCUGUGUGAAGAAGCACUUCACGAAUCUUCCAGCAUUUAGCUUCAUUAGAUGUCCAGUGUUAUGAAAUUGAGAGAGACUUUUUUCUGUCCAAUUUCUCCAUUACAUGCCUAAUUUAAUAAACUUCUAUCAUGUCACUUCUUAGACAUAAGAACAUGAGAAGAGUCCUGCUGGAUCAAGCCAAUGGGAAUGAGUUGCAAAAAUUAACUAUGCUUUGCUUUUCAGGGACAAAAAGAAAAGAAAAAGAAAAAGGGGGGGGGGGGGAGAAAGGGUCUGGAUCACAUGUUGACAACGUAGGAAAAACAAAUAGUCUCCACUGAUUCUGGAAUAAAUGUUGUGCAUACAUAGCCUCCAAUCAGGUGAAAAGGCCAACUCUGAAGCAAUAUUGGGGGGGGGGGAUUUCCUAAUAGCUGUUCGACCAUGGAAUGGACUCCCUCGGAAAGUGGUGGACCUUCCUUCUCUGGAGGUUUUUCACGUUUGGGAUUCUUUAAUUGUGAUUCCUGCAUUGCAGUUGGUCGGACUAGAUUCUAUUAUCUGUGCCUCGGAAUUUUCAUAAUAGUAAUUUGCUCAUAAGCAGGGGAAAUGGCCGCAAAGGACAAGGAGGAAUUUUGCAGGCCCACCAAGCAGCGCUGAGAGCAGCGAACAGAUGCAACUCAUCACACUAAUCAGCUUUUCCUUCCCAGAGAGGUUGCUCUAUUGAGAAAGAGAUGUGGGGAGGGAUCACUCUGGUCUCUCAUGGCAACCCUGAGAUGGGGAUGAGAGAGUGGUGAUGGGGGUUGGGGUUGGGAGAGAAACUGGGCUUUGAUUUAAUUUUUCCCCAUGUGCCUUUCACAGGACUCGAAUGAGCAAACAAAAGCCCCCUGGGAAAAGGGGUUGCUCAUUUUUCUAUUCCCCCUACCAACUCCUUUUCUUUCUCAUUUUUUAAAAGAAGAGGGGAAAAAUAGGGUUAGAGCAAGAUGGAUGGUCCUCCUGGCCAAUAGGAGGAAGAGCUCAGCCAUCCCGGCUGUUAGCCCAUUAGAGGACAUUGAUGAUGGAUGGCCCUAAACGGGGAUGAUCACCAGCCUUGGAAAGAUGCAUUCUUUUGUCAGACUUAAAUCUGCAGCCUGGAUUUGUCCCCAAACUAAAGCUGGUUCUCCUCAGAGUAGGACAAAUUCAAGGGCUGACUUAAAUCCAUUGAUUUCAAUGGGGCAGCUUUAAGUAGGGCUGACAUCAGGUUGCAUUCAAGCAAGUUUUACUCAAAGUAGACCCAUUGGGAUUAACAGGCUGAAAUUACUCCUCUUUGUGGAUGUUUCAGUGUGUACCUUCUGAACAGGACCAGCACUGAAGGCGACUCACUGGAUGCAAUGAAUACUACUAUAUUUUUUAUUUAUAUGCACUAUUUGUAUCAUGCUUUUUAUAUUAUUGUACUUGUUUUAAAGAAAUAAGGCUUGCUUCCAACGCAUUUGUUGUUUAAACUGUUUUUUUAUUAUCUUAUGUGUAAAUUGCCUUGAGACAGUGGUUUGAAAGACAAUUAAUAAAUUAAUUGUAGCAACAACAACAACAACAACAACAACACAACCCCUUGCAUUCUAUUUUUUUGUUUCUGGGGUAAGCUAGCUUCCCUUCCCCCACUCAACCAUUCUAGAUAUUAUUUAUUUUGCUUCCUUUCAUUUAAUUUACAUCCCACUGUCUUUUCCAAGGAGAUCAAGAGGGCAUACGUUGUUUCCGCGCUCCUCUCGUUUAAUCCCCACAACAACCCUGUGAUGUAGGUUAGGCUGAGAGGCAGUGACUGGCCCCCAAGGUCAUAACCAGUGAGCUUCAUGUGGCCCAGCUGCAGGGAUUUGAACCCUGGUCUCUCUCAGGUCCUACGAGUCUGACACUCUACCCACUACACCACCCUGGAUUUCCCAGUGGUUGAUGUGUAGAUGAUGACCUCAACUGUCCUUGUAAUAGGGAAGGACCUCAUGACUGCCGUGUCAAGUGCUUGAGACGCCGCUGAAAUUUGCGCAACGAAACAGCAUAUAGGCAUGCACACUGUUGUUUAGGGCUGGAUUUCCUCUUUCAUUUUAUUGCAUGUCACAUUUUAAAAACUUACUAGUACUGCAAUGUGUGUGUGUGUGUUUUGGGGGUCAAUCCCACAGCACCUGCACCACCUCUGAACAGAUUCACCCAUAUGGCUCUGAAACAGUGUGCAGAGCCAAAGGGUUGGCCACUCCAUUCCCCACUGAAAAGCUCCCCUUUGGAUGAGGCUCCCUGAUGAGCUGGGCACGCCUGGGUUUUUUUGGUGAUGGGGGUGGGGUGGGGUCUCUAUUCUCCUUCUCCCCCAUCAACCCGCUGACCUGCCUUUGACCUGUGAGUGCUUCUGUAAUGGCAUUGACUUCUAUCCAUAAUGUAGCAGGGGCAAGAAGGAAGAAAAAUGGUGGUGUGUGUGUGUGGAAAUUAAAGAGGGAGGGCGCUGCUGUGUCCCCUGCCAAAGGGGGAUUUGAACAGGCCCACCAUCCUUAACAACUUGGGACCCACAAUAUUGCUUUACCCCAUACAUGCCUGCUUGACCUCUUCAACUGGCAGAACUGGCACUACUGGUGCCACAUAAAACCUGUUCCACAUUUGUAAGAAAUAAGUCUGCACUCUUUUCACUUCCCACAAGGCACCUCAAAGUGAUUUGCAAUCUAAUUGCAUACAGUAUUUGUUUUGGGGUUUUUUGGGGGGGGCAGUUUUGGUACUACUUAACUAUAACCACCUCUAGAGACAGUAUGCAAGAAAAUCAAUAUAAGAUGGGGGGGGGGGGAAAUGGGUUAAAAUAAUAAAGAUUUGAAUUUCGUUAAAAUGCCUGCAGGGUGACCACGCUGGGUCUAGUGGGGCUUCCUCCCAGGUAAGCACGCGUGGCUUUGCAGCCUUAAUUGUUAAAGCAGAUUGGACCCACUCGUCUCCUACCUUAUUAUCUGGCAUGUACUCAUGAUAUACUGCAGUGCCAGCUUAUCACCAUUCUAUUUCCCCUCAGACAACAAGAGACUUUAAGUCUAGGGCCUACCCUACUUCUCACAAAAUUGGGAUUCCCAAUCUACUGAGAGCCAGUGUGGUGCAGUGGUUAAGAGCGGUAGACUCGUAAUCUGGUAAACUGGGUUCGCGUCUCCGCUCCUCCACAUGCAGCUGCUGGGUGACCUUGGGCCAGUCACACUUCUCUGAAGUCUCUCAGCCCCACUCACCUCACAGAGUGUUUGUUGUGGGGGAGGAAGGGAAAGGAGAAUGUUAGCCGCUUUGAGACUCCUUCGGGUAGUGAUAAAGCAGAAUAUCAAAUCCAAACUCUUCUUCUACUGUGGCGAUCACACAGGGUUCCCGGACGUUUCACCGUCUAUUGAUCCCUGUGCCACCACUUUAUUUCUCGCUGCCACCACCCAGGCCCUACCUGAUACAAUACUGAGUUCAGUCAGGGUUAAGUUAGAACAUAACUUCUGUUUAUUUAUUGCAGUUUAACAAGCGUGUGGUUUCAUAAACCGGAUCGGUCAAUUACAAUCGUGGGGUGCCUAUCCAGACCUAUAACUUCCACUACCUGCUCUCACUCACUAAACCACCUCUCAGAUAUUUACUUGUCUUCCUAGCUCCUAACUGUUCCUGACUCAGCUUAUUUCGCUACACUAACUCAACCUACCCACAGACUCUAUCCCAAUUCACUCCCACUCCAACCAACCACCCAACUCCCAAUGAACUCCUCCUUCGUCCCUCCCAGAGCUGGUUUUAUAGUCCCUCUGACUCCACCCCCCUGGGUUCUGAUUGAGUAACCUGUUUAACUAUUUCACCUCCAGCACUCUCAUAUGUUCACGUCACAUCCACGAGCUCCAUUUUCAAGUCCCCCCCCCCAAAGUCAUUAAGACUUUGGCCUUGAUCAGUCCCUCCAUCGUAAAAGACCCAAUCUAAAUUGAAAAUCAAAACCAUUUGGGACUGAGUAGAGGCUUGGAGCCACGUCUAAACUUUUAAAAUUCAUCAUUUCACCAGCUGAGACUUUGAUAGCACAACCAAAGAGAAUCUCCAAAGCCAAAUGAUAUUUUACAUACAGUGUGAAUGUGGUAAAAGAUGUGGAGUGCACUCAGCUCACAGGAACAGGCAGAUAGAGGUGGUGGAAGAGAAAAUUCACUGCUCUCUUUAAAUAGAUGCAGGCUUUCGCAGCACCCAGACAUGUUUUCCUGAAAACUGGGUGCGUUGUGAUGAGACUUUGCCGGAUUGCAUCAAAUCUGGUCAUUAGAAAAUCAGGAAACUCUCUUCUUUUGUUUUCCUUUGGUGUCCUCUGCUCUGGUGCACUAUUGGGCCACCAAGGAUCUAUCUCAUUCUCUCUUUCUCUCUCUUUCAGGAAGGUGAUGGAUGGUUGGUGAAGGACCCUGAGUGAGAGGCAGGGAAGGGAAGACCUCCCAGCAUGAGAAACCUGGAAAAGAAAGGGAAGUCCCAGGUGAGAGAGGACUCUGUGCUUUCAUUUCUCUUUCUCUCUCAGUUUUCAUUUUUGUUCGGAUUAGUUUCUUUUAUUUUCUUGUAUCAUGAAAAAGCUUUAAUAAAACCUUAUUUUUUAAAAAGAAAGGAAAUAAGCAAACAAGGAAAAGAGGCGUAGUGACGGUUUAUUUGUUGGUUGCUUAUUGCAUUUAUAUCCUACUUUUUCCUCCCAGGAGGUUAAGGUGGCACACACAAUUCUCCCCUUCCUCAUUCAAUCCCCACAAGAAAAAGUCUCAAAGUGGCUCCACAAUAUGAAAUUAAUUUAUUUCAUAAAAUUUAUGCACCGCUUGAUCGUAAAAACAAAAAACCUCAAAGCAAUAUAUAAACAAGAUAAUAAAAUUGUCAGUAAGAAGAACCAACAACAAUACUUUUCAUUGCUAUUCUUAGCAGUCUCCUCCUACUGAUGGUUUUAUUGUAUACCUUUUGUAUACCUUUGUAAUACUUCUGUUGUUGUUUUUUAAAUUUGCUAUACUGUUUAGAGAUGCUUUAUAUUUUAAGUGGUAUAAAAACAAUCCUAAAAGAGUAAAUAAAACUUUUCUCUCUCCUCUCUGCCGGAAAGGAUAUGAUUUCAGACACAGGUGUGUGUGCAUGUGUGUGUGUUUGGGGUUCCUGUUUAGGGGGAGGGGAAAAUUAAUAUCCCAUUUUUAUUAUUAUUAAUGGCAAGCGUAUCUUGAGAGACUGUCUAUUAAGCCUCAGAAAGUAGGUAUCUCAGAAAACCUCCACCUGCAUUGAUGCUGAAAUUCAAUCCAAGUGCAGGACAUUUGAAUGGGUGUAGAAUUUCUCUUCCUGAGAAUUGUGGCUUUUGCUGUUUCUUUUUAAUGCAAGUUUCUCUCUCUUAAGAUGGAGAAGGUGUGCAUGAAAGUGUGUCCAUGCAUUAGGGGAGGGGGCAAAGUGUGGUGAAACUUCUGCAGCUCCUUGUCCCCUUCCCAUUAGCAGCUUAGCUCACAGGUAGCCCAGGUGGUACCCACCAGUUGUGGUUAGACCACGACACCACCCACGGUUGUUGGUUGAAAUCAGAGCAGGAGUCGGGAUUUUCUGUUAUGGCAUCAGGGACUCCCAGGUUCCUUGCUCUACUUGUGUCAGGUGAGAAAGUCCAGUUACCUGUUCAAGAAGGGUUCUCCUCUACAGCAUCCAUUCAAAGAGGUUCUACUUUACAACAUCCAGAGGGCACAGGUUGCCUACCCCAGGACCCAACCCUUAAUAUUAUUGACAUGAUAAAAAUGAUGAUAAAAAUGUAACCAUAAGCACCUAAGAAGAGCCUGCUGGAUCAGGCCCAAGGGGUCCAUCUAAUCCAGUGUCCUUACAGAGCCUUCUCCUCUCCUGUGGUUUCUAGCAACUGGUAUUUAGAAGUACUGCUGCCUCAAAUUAUAGAGGAAUAACACAGCCAUUAUGGCCAAUAGCCCUCAUUAGCCCUUUUCUAGUCCUCUUUUAUAGCCAUCUAGGUUGGUGGCCAUCACUUGCCUCCUGAGGAAGGGAGUUCCAUAGUUUAACUCUGUGCUGCAUUUUAUCUGUCCUUCUAGCAUUCUGCCGAUUUCAUUUUUAAAUAAUGAUUACAAAAUAUUUGCAUUUCUUAUGGCAAAUAGAAUGAAAAAAAUCUUAAAAGAAUUUAUUCACCAUGACCAAGCUGGAUUCCUUCCAGGCAGACAAAUCAAAGAUAAUAUUAGAAAUCUAUUGAACAUUAUAGAGUUAUUUGGAAGUGAGAAAUGAAAAAAAAAGCAGCAUUAAUGUUCAUAGAUAUGGAGAAAGCAUUUGAUAAUGUUUCUUGGAGCUUCAUGAAAAAAGGUGAUGGAGAAGAUGGGAUUUGGAGAAAAAUUUAAUAGGGGAAUGCAAGCUGUUUACUCAGAUCAAAAUGCAAAAAUAAUUGUAAAUUGGGUGAUAACGGAUAAAUAUAGAAUACAAAAAGGAACGAGAGUCAGAGAAAAACUUUUCUCUAUCCACUUCCUCACCUUUUCUCCAAACUAAGAAGCCCCCAAUGCUGCAAUCUUUCCUCAUAGGGGAGUCACUCCAACCCCCCCCUUCAUUUGGGUUGCUCUUUUCUGAACGGAUACAACCCUGAUUUCCCAUUUCCGUUCUCUUUUGGGCUGGCCCUCGUCUCCUUCGCCUACUGUCUCUUGUCAGAGAAAGCAAGAGAACUGUUUCCAGGUAACCUUCCAGGGAGAGUCAAUCAAUGUUUGUAAAAUGAAAAAAGACAAGUAAGCGGCGACAUGAUAGAGGUUAAUAAAGUUAUCCUCAGCAUAGAGAGAGUGGAUAGAGAAAAGUUUUCCUCCCUUUCUCAAAACACCUAGAACUUGGAAUACUCAUGACGGAUGAAAGAAAGCCUUCCAUCAUAGUUAAAACUAUGGAACUCGCUCCCACAGGAGGCAGUGAUGGCCAUCAACCUGAAUGGCUUUAAAAGAGGAUUGGACCAACUCAUGGAGAAGGAAAGGGCUACUGAUGGCUGCUAGCUAUGCUCUCUCUCCACUGCAAGUAGUACAGUGACAGUAAUAUGAAUGCCAUUUGCUGGAAACUGCUGGAGGGGACAGUGCUCUUGUGCUCUGGUUUUGCUUGAGGGUUUCCCAGAGGCAUCUGCACAGCCACUGUGAGAACAGGAUACUGGACUAGAUGGGCCUGAUCCAACACAGCUCUUGUUAUGUUCUUAUGCAAGAGCUACUCUGGUAAUGGGGUGUGCGUGUGCGUGAGUGAGUGCAUGAGUAUGCAUCACUGCCAACUUUUGAAAAUGCAACAGAGGACUUACUCCCUGCUCCCCCAUCCUCUUCUGGAAAUUCCUGCUCCUUGACCACAAUGUUUGACCCAGCCAAGUAAAGGAAGUACAUGACAGGAUCUUGAGCAUAACCAGACAGGAUAUUUUCAGAUUCAUUUUAUGUUCUUGAACAUAUGCUAAAACAAACAAACAAAAAAAUAAUUAAUCUGGCAACAUUUUAAGGCUAAAGCAGGCUAAAUCUGCCAUGACUAUCUCCAUGCAUCCAGCAUCUGCUUAGCUCACUGGUAAAUGGUACUACAGCUCUCACAAGGCCUCUUCGUCCUGAACUAUGUUUUGCAAGGCUCAUCUUAAUUUGAUUGCAAAGGAGGUGACUUCCCCAGAGCUGGGCUUAUUCUAGGUUUGGGGUUGUUGUUGUUUUUUUGCAGCUUAUCCGAAUGGCUGAGGAGGCUCGCAGUUAAUCAAGAUUUCAACAUGGAACACUGGAAAGAAAUUGUCAUGACUCCCUGCAAAGAAUUAUGGGAAAUCAGAAAGCUGGUGUAAACUAUUUAUCUCAUUUAUUUCAACCAUUUGUAUACUGUACUGCUUAGUUAAAGCAGACCAAUUCCGCAUUGCAAAGAUGUCUGCAGACAAGAGGUCUGGCAACAUCAACCUGUGGGGAGUCCCUUGCAGACAAACGAAAGGGUCUGGAGCAGGGGUCGGCAACCUUUUUCAGCUGUGGGCCGAUCCACAAUCCCUCAGACCAUGUGGUGGGCCGGACUAUAUUUUUUUGGGGGGGGAGGAGAACAAAUUCCUAUGCCCCACAAAUAACCCAGAGAUGCAUUUUAAAUAAAACCACACAUUCUACUCAUGUAAAAACACACUGAUUCCUGGACCGUUAACGAGCCGGAAUGAGAAGGUGAUUGGGCCGCAUCCGGCCCCCGGGCCUUAGAUUGCCUACCCCUGGACUGGAGCAUGGGUUGGCAAACUAAGGCCCGCAGGCCGAAUCAGGCCCAAUUGCCUUCUAGAUCCGGCCCGUGGAUGGUCCAGGAAUCGCCGUGUGGAUCACCAGUGGGUGGAUCGCCAGUGCGCACGUUCUUUCCCUCUCCCUCACACAGCGGUGCUUUUCUCCUCAGCAAUGGAACAAUCUUGUCCUAUACCUGGCGCCGUUGACAGUGGGAGUCCGCUCACCCGCCUGCCUGCCUCAGCAGGGUGGCACUGUGAAGGGGGUGUGUGACUCUGGCUGGUGGUUGCUGCUGCCUUUUCCUCCUGCUCCUCUUCCCUCUCCCUCAGUCUGCCCUUCCUUCUCCGUGCCCCUUUUCCACACCGCUUCCUCAUGCUGCCUGCCUCCCUCCCUCCUUCAUUCCUCCCAUGGCAUUCAGGUGGGUUGUUGAGGAGGCCGUGGCUGCCGCUUGCGGGUUGGCGGAUGGCUCUGUCUUCUCCUCCACGUUGCCUCUCCAUCCGUGGCUCCUCUGCCAGGGCUGCUGCUUCUGUCUCUGCCGGCCAACACAGCCUCCUACCCCGCCAUGGCUCCUGGCUGGCUGAAGAAGCCCAACUGCAGCUAUUGGUACAACAACUGGGACAGGUAAAGCGAAGCAUCUUCAGGCCUCUUUGCGGGCGGGUGAAGAUCAUUCACCCCCCCAAUAUAGUUUGGCCCCCCACAAGGUCUGAAGGACAGUGGACCGGCCCACUGCUGAAAACGUUUGCUGACCCCUGGUUCUCUGGCACUGGGGGGCAGAGAGUAGGUAGGGGCAUGGCUGGUGCGCAUCCUGAGGGCAUGGCGCACUGCCUGCGGGGGCGGGGCACCCAGCAUGGGCGGGGGGACAGCCGCUAUAGCACCCCACCGGGAUCGUGCUGCAGGGGGCGGUGCGCUCCCCCCGCACUCCUCUUCCUCCGCCAGUGCCCCUGGUCUGGAGGCAGACAGUCAGGUCAUGCAUCCACAGCAAUGACCGGAGGAAAAAUGACCACUGGGAGGAGCGCAAAGAGAAGAAGUGCCCUGGUGCAUCUACAGCUGCACAACUGGAUGCCUUCAUCUGCCCCAGCUGUAACAGCUCUCCCACAUCAGUCACUACAGCCACAGCCGGUGCUGCAACCUUUCAACAACUUGACCUCACCCCCAAAGGCACACGCCUCCUUCGUCUCCCAAGACGGAUGCCAGCGAAGUCAAAGCAGACUCUUAAGUGGUGUGCAAGUGACAGUAAGGCUAAAAAUGGCUUAAAACUAUAAAGUAAGAGUUCACUUAAAAAGUCUGCUGGAAUAAAGUUUUCAGUGAGUUCUGCAGGGAGGGAGGGCUACCAUCCUAAGCACAUGGCUCCUGGUGGGUAUACAUGGUGUAGCUGAGCCGUGGAGAAGGGAACUAACUCCUCUCAAGAUCUCCAUGAAAAGGCAGGGAUUAAAGGUAUCCUGGACCCAAAGGGCCUUGUAAAUUAAUACAGUAACCUUGAACCUGGCCCAGUAGCAUUUUGGGUAGGACCUUUUUGAGAGCGGGAAUGAUGUGCUGGUCUGUCCUCAUCAACAGUCCAGCUACAGAGUUUUGCACCAGCUGGAUGAAAAUAUAAUAAAUAAUGGCAAAUUUAAUCAAGUGAGAGGAAGGGAGCCUAGGGUAUCUGCAGUAGUGUAUUGGAAAAAAUCAGAACCACGAGGUUCCUCCAUGAGAGUCGCAGCCAUGCCCCCUCGCAGCCACAGCCCCUUCUACAAUUCUAUAACUUCCUAAGGUUAUACAAUAAACUUAUAACUAUUCAAUAAAAGAAUCCAUUUAUCCAUUGGACUUGUUCUUGUUACAAAUGUAUUUUGUAAAUAAAGUUUAUUAAACAGCUGCUGCUAAAAAAAGAUAACGAGCAGUGAAUGGGGAACUGGGAUCUCUCUAGAUAUCGUUCAAGAUGGUAAUAACUUUAUUUUUUAAUGUUUUUAAAUGGUGAUGAAGGACAUCGGCAAGUUUCUUUACACUGUUUCUGUAAACUGCAGGUAGAAGUACUAACCACAGAGAAAUUCAAGCAAAAUGCUUUUAAUGGGGAUACUCUAUAGACCACUGAUAUGGUGCCCUCCAAAGGAUUUGGACUACAAUUCCCAUUAGUUGGAACUGAUGGGACUUGUAGUCCAGAGCAUCUGGACGGCACCAUAUUAGUGAAGAAAAAACAAUGCUAGAUAACUUGUUUAGGGAAGUUUUUAACGACUGAUGUUUUAAUGUAUUUUUAAUCUUCUGUUGGAAGCCGCCCAGAGUGGCUGGGGAAACCCAGCCAGAUAGGUGGGGUAGAUAUAAUAAAUUAAUAAUAAUAAUAAUAAUAAUUAAAGGAUGCAUUGCAACCAUCCAUGCAAAUCUCCAUGGGUUGCCUUUCAGCUGGAUCUACUAUCUUCUGUGCCUGUACAUGGACAAAUAAUUUGGCAUGGUCCAAUAUCCCCUUAAAGUUAUGUUUCUCUUGAAGUUCCAUUGUACAUAACAGGACUUGCACCCCAUUCUCUUGAAGCAGAAGCACCUUGCAUUUUCAGUGUGCCUGAAUGCUUGGCCUUGGAACAGAAAAAACAACUCCUCCUAGGCGUUCUUCCCAUGCAUCUUCUCCAGAGGGACCCUGGGGCCAGGAGAUGGCCUGGGCCAAAAGGCAGAAAGGUGGAGCAGAUCCCCAGUGUGCCAGUGAGGGAGAAGAUGUGAUCCUGAAGUUGUGCCUGGAAGUGGCUGCAGAGGCUUUUUUGGGGGACUGGGGUGUGGGCUUGAAGUUUCUGACCCACAACCAGAGAGGCUGAACCUGUGAGCUUAGCACUGAAUGGGCUGUUAAAUUUGCUUGAACUGAGGACUGUGUGAAGAUCCCAUGAACAAGGAAAUCUGUGCAGCUGUGUGAUUUACUUAAGAAGAAGAACUAUUUUCUAUUACUGGGGAAUGAUCAGGAGCUCACCAAGUUAGUGGCUAAAUAUGUCUAUUUGGUUUUUUGUGGUCGAAAUAGACUGCAGACGCCUGAUCUCCCUGGAGACCUUGAGAUGUGGCGAUAGACUGCUCUGCCUCCUUUCUUUUAGCAAAUGUUUUGUGCCACUGGGGAAGUGGUAUUGAGUUGUUUUGAAUGUAUGUAUGUGAUGCCAAUAAAAGGUCUGAUAUAUAUAUAAGAUGAAGAACUGGGUGGAAAGCCCAUACAGGCU